rnacentral:snRNA from 1 species
UGUCCUAAGAUGAGCUCAA